CUAUGAGAUGGAAUUUCAGGGCAAAGUUUUUUUAAAUUUAAUAAUUACAGUUAUUUUAAUUUGUGAAGAAACAAUUAUAUAAAUUAAGGACAAGAAGACCCUAAGAAUUUAAGAAUUCUUAUGUUACUUAAAUAUAAAAUAGGAAUUCUUAGUUGGGGCAACUAAAAAACAUUAUAAACUUUUUUUCUUUAAAAUGACCCAUUAUUAAUGAUAAUAUGAUUAAAUACUC
rnacentral:rRNA from 1 species